UAGAGAUGGGAUUUCACUAUAUUAGCCAGGAUGGUCUCCAUCUCCUGACCUCGUGAUUUGCCUGCCUCGGUCUCCCAAAGUGCUGGGGUUACAGGCGUGAGCCACCACGCCCAGCCCACCAUUUCUUACAUUUGUCAUUAAUUAUGUGAAAGAGGAAAGACUGUACUUCCAGUGUGUCCUGGGAAGAGUGGUGGAAUGGAAACAUGUAGGUAGAUGACAGGAGCCCCCUGAAAGGAUUCUAGGGUUCCAUGGGGGGCAGGGAGACCCCCUGGAGCCUGGGGGACAGGGAGAAGAGGCUUCCCACUGUGAGCUGCUCAAGACAUGUUUGGCCCAGCAGUGAACAGAAAGGAAACCCAAUUUAUAGGAAAAAUGACAGCAGUACUAAUAUCCACAAGUAUAUAACACUUUAGAGUUUACAGAACACUUUAGAUCUAAGCUGUUUCUUCUCAUAUCAUAAUGAAGUUACCUAUUGAAGUCUAAACACCCUAAAAGCGCAUGAGUCUGAUAAGGCCAGUGUCUUACUAAUUUUUGGAUCCUACCAUGCCUAGGCAAGUGUACUUAACAAAUGUUUGCUUGCAUUCAUCCUCUCAACAACCCUGACAGGUUGGAAGAAGUGGUAUUAUCCUCGUUUUUUAGCUAAGAAAUCCGAGACCUGGGGAAUUCAUGACUUACCCAAAGUCACGGAUGGCAACUGACAGACCUGGGGCUUGAACCUCAGGCUUAGGUCUUCCCAUUGAGCACUCGGGCUGCUGCCAGAGACAGGGGAGAAUAUAGAGCUUUAAAUCCUUGAAGCAAAGGAGCUGUAAUUCAAGGAUUUACAAGACAUUUCUGCAUGACAGAGGAGUGAUUAGGAUUUGUCUUCACAUGGGAGUCUCCCUGUAUUGGGUGAACCUUCUUAGUCUUGUCAAUAUAAAGUACAUGCAUACCCAUUGUUCUGGAAGACAUCCUAGACAUCUGUGAUGGGUCCGAGACAGAGUCCUCAGACUGAAGUGUUACUGGUUUCAUUUAGCAAUGUCAGUGGAGUAUCUCCUUAGCAGAACCAUGCCCCUGAGGAAUUACAGAAUUUGUUUCCCAAAGUCUCAAUUUAGGCUGUCCCAUGGCUGAAAAUCAUUAUCCUUUGUCCAGUCAUUGUUCACUGCAGGGCAGGAGCCCAGACAACCGCAGGAAGAGCAGGCAGACCAAGUCUCUUCCCUUCCGGGCAGGAAUGACCGAGGUAAGGCCCUGGAUUGGGCCUGAUUUGUCAUUAUCUGGGCCACACGGCUGCUGGCCCACCUGCAGGGUUAUUUAAGGCCAAGGCAGGCUUAAGGCAACUAGCCCUAUGUGAGCCAUUGGAGCCAGGUUGUACCUUCAGGAUAGGUCUAGGAAUUUCUCUUGAAAGAUAUUGAUGUUCUUGCUGUGAAUCAUCUUGAGGCAAAAAGUUAAAAACAAAACAAAACAAGGUGGUCUUUGGGCAGGAAGAGGAAGGCCUCUGCUCUCUUUAUGGGCAAGGAGGGUGUUCAGAGAGGCCUAGAGACUUCCAAAGGCAAGAAGUUCACUGGCCUCUCCCUGCCACCAACAUUGCCAGAAGCUUAAGGAGGGUUUGCAAAAUGCAGCUGAACUGGUGGGUGCUCUGAAACUACUGCUUUGAGCAGUUGUAACAGACUAUCUCUUUGGUACUUUUGUUAUUUGAGAGCUUCCAAUAGCAUUUUUUCAAAGAUGCUGGGCCUGUGUCCGUACUUCAAACAAACAGCUGCAGCUCAGAGGCCACCACCGUGAGACGCUCAGAGGUGAGGUGCAAGCCCUCUAGGAUGGCUCUGGGAUUGGAAACCCAAGAGCAGAUGGACUUCCUGCAUUUGUGGGAUGGGAGUUCAAACUGUUGUUAUUUUAGAAUUAAGGGGAAAUGACACCCUUAAAAACUGGAGAAGUCAAGGCCAUCUGGGCUGCAGAAGGAAGACACGACUGUGUCUUGAAAUGACACGAGAUAUUUCUGUCAAUGUUCUGUUCUUCACUUCUUGCAUCCCAAGUUCACAAAGCAAUGACAAUGGACUAAGUUCAUGGACCAGGUCCACAGCCUUCCUGACGAGACCUCACUCCCUCUUGUGUCCGGAAUUGGUGGGUUCUUGGUCUCACUGACUUCAAGAAUGAAGCUGCGGACCCUCGCGGUGAGUGUUACAGCUUUUAAGGUGGCGCGUCUGGAGUCUGUCCCUUUUGAUGCUCAGAUGUGUUCGGAGUUUCUUCCUUCUGAUGGGUUCGUGGUCUCGCUGGCUCAGGAGUGAAGCUGCAGAGCUUUGCGGAGAGUGUUACAGCUCUUAAGGCAGCGCAUCUGGAGUUGUUCGUUCCUCCUGGUGGGCUUGUGGUCUCACUGGGCUCAGGAGUGAAGCUGCAGAUCUUCGCGGUGUUACAGCUCAUAAAAGCAGCGCGGACCCAAAGAGUCAGCAGUAGCAAGACUUAUUGCAAAGAGCGAAAGAACAAAGCUUCCACAGGGUGGAAGGGGACCCGAGCGGGUUGCCAACGCUGGCUCGGGCAGCCUGCUUUUAUUCUCUUAUCUGGCCCCACCCACAUCCUGCUGAUGGGUAGAGCCAAGUGGCCUGUUUUGACAGGGUGCUGAUUGGUAAAUUUACAAUCCCUGAGCUAGAUACAAAUGUUCUUCACGUCCCCAUCAGAUUAGUUAGAUACAGAGUAUGGACACAAAGGUUCUCCAAGGCCCCACCAGAGCAGCUAGAUACAGAGUGUCGAUUGGUGCACUCACAAACCUUGAGCUAAACACAGGGGUGCUGAUUGGUGUGUUUACAAACCUUGAGCUAAACAUAAAGACUCUCCGCGUCCCCACCAGACUCAGGAGCCCAGCUG
rnacentral:lncRNA from 10 species